GAAAAAUAAAGGAGGGGUCAAAACCAAGAGAAAUUCUGUUUAUUGUUGAAGAUGGUCAUCAGGAGGAGUGGAUGGGCGCACCCAUAAACAAACUCAUCGUCAGGGUGGGACAGCGAUAACUGUUGGAACUGGGACUUCCAAUAACAACAAAGCCCCGAAUGCCGCCAGGACAAAUGAUGAAUAUGAGAUACCCUGAGCAUCUUGAGACUCACCAGAGCAAAACAACUCUGAGAGUCAAGAAGCUACACAUCUGGCUGUUGACUCUAGCGUGUGAUGGCAGGGAUAUUAUUCUGAAUGAAACAAGGAGGGACAGAAUACUGGGCUCUGUGCAAGCUUUACUCCUGUCAUUGCUUUUUCCUAUUGCAUUUAAAAUUUGGGGGCCUAAAAGUCAACCCUUGGUUUUGCAUAGCAGGCUGCAAAUGAAGCCUCUUCGAUACAUUAAGGCA
rnacentral:lncRNA from 1 species